GGUCGGUUAGCUCAGUUGGUUAGAGCGUCGUAUGUCUUCUCCACAACUCCCACAAGUCCGGUAAAUACAUACUAAUCCAUCACAGGUACUAAUACAGAAUCAUCUGUACACUGUAAUGCGAAGGUCAUGGGUUCGACCCCCAUACUGACCA